rnacentral:rRNA from 1 species
AAUUUGACUCAACACGGGGAAACUUACCAGGUUAAAACAAUAGUGGGAUUGACAGCUUGAGAGCGCUUUCUUGAUUGGUUGGGUGGUGGUGCAUGGCCGUUCUUAGUUGGUGGAGUGAUUUGUCUGCUUAAUUGCGUUAACGAACGAGACCUUAACCUGCUUACUAGACUGGCGAUGAAUAAUCGUCAGCUCUUCUUAGAGGGACUUUGGUUGUUUUAACUCCAAGGAAGUUUGAGGCAAUAACAGGUCAUGU